UCGGAGUGGGCUGUCAGCGCCCUGUGGU
rnacentral:sRNA from 1 species